AUGAACGCUAGCUACAGGCUUAACACAUGCAAGUCGAGGGGCAGCAUUUUAGUUUGCUUGCAAACUAAAGAUGGCGACCGGCGCACGGGUGAGUAACACGUAUCCAACCUGCCGAUAACUCGGGGAUAGCCUUUCGAAAGAAAGAUUAAUAUCCGAUAGUAUAUUAAAACCGCAUGGUUUUACUAUUAAAGAAUUUCGGUUAUCGAUGGGGAUGCGUUCCAUUAGUUUGUUGGCGGGGUAACGGCCCACCAAGACUACGAUGGAUAGGGGUUCUGAGAGGAAGGUCCCCCACAUUGGAACUGAGACACGGUCCAAACUCCUACGGGAGGCAGCAGUGAGGAAUAUUGGUCAAUGGACGAGAGUCUGAACCAGCCAAGUAGCGUGAAGGAUGACUGCCCUAUGGGUUGUAAACUUCUUUUAUAUGGGAAUAAAGUAUUCCACGUGUGGGAUUUUGUAUGUACCAUAUGAAUAAGGAUCGGCUAACUCCGUGCCAGCAGCCGCGGUAAUACGGAGGAUCCGAGCGUUAUCCGGAUUUAUUGGGUUUAAAGGGAGCGUAGGUGGAUUGUUAAGUCAGUUGUGAAAGUUUGCGGCUCAACCGUAAAAUUGCAGUUGAAACUGGCAGUCUUGAGUACAGUAGAGGUGGGCGGAAUUCGUGGUGUAGCGGUGAAAUGCUUAGAUAUCACGAAGAACUCCGAUUGCGAAGGCAGCUCACUAGACUGCAACUGACACUGAUGCUCGAAAGUGUGGGUAUCAAACAGGAUUAGAUACCCUGGUAGUCCACACAGUAAACGAUGAAUACUCGCUGUUUGCGAUAUACAGUAAGCGGCCAAGCGAAAGCAUUAAGUAUUCCACCUGGGGAGUACGCCGGCAACGGUGAAACUCAAAGGAAUUGACGGGGGCCCGCACAAGCGGAGGAACAUGUGGUUUUAUUCGAUGAUACGCGAGGAACCUUACCAGGGCUUAAAUUGCAUUUGAAUAAUCUGGAAACAGGUUAGCCGCAAGGCAAAUGUGAAGGUGCUGCAUGGUUGUCGUCAGCUCGUGCCGUGAGGUGUCGGCUUAAGUGCCAUAACGAGCGCAACCCUUAUCUUUAGUUACUAACAGGUUAUGCUGAGGACUCUAGAGAGACUGCCGUCGUAAGAUGUGAGGAAGGUGGGGAUGACGUCAAAUCAGCACGGCCCUUACGUCCGGGGCUACACACGUGUUACAAUGGGGGGUACAGAAGGCAGCUACCUGGCGACAGGAUGCUAAUCCCAAAAACCUCUCUCAGUUCGGAUCGAAGUCUGCAACCCGACUUCGUGAAGCUGGAUUCGCUAGUAAUCGCGCAUCAGCCAUGGCGCGGUGAAUACGUUCCCGGGCCUUGUACACACCGCCCGUCAAGCCAUGAAAGCCGGGGGUACCUGAAGUACGUAACCGCAAGGAGCGUCCUAGGGUAAAACUGGUAAUUGGGGCU
rnacentral:rRNA from 1 species